GGCGUGUGACUGCGUACCUUUUGUAUAAUGGGUCAGCGACUUAUAUUCUGUAGCAAGGUUAACCGAAUAGGGGAGCCGAAGGGAAACCGAGUCUUAACUGGGCGUUAAGUUGCAGGGUAUAGACCCGAAACCCGGUGAUCUAGCCAUGGGCAGGUUGAAGGUUGGGUAACACUAACUGGAGGACCGAACCGACUAAUGUUGAAAAAUUAGCGGAUGACUUGUGGCUGGGGGUGAAAGGCCAAUCAAACCGGGAGAUAGCUGGUUCUCCCCGAAAGCUAUUUAGGUAGCGCCUCGUGAAUUCAUCUCCGGGGGUAGAGCACUGUUUCGGCAAGGGGGUCAUCCCGACUUACCAACCCGAUGCAAACUGCGAAUACCGGAGAAUGUUAUCACGGGAGACACACGGCGGGUGCUAACGUCCGUCGUGAAGAGGGAAACAACCCAGACCGCCAGCUAAGGUCCCAAAGUCAUGGUUAAGUGGGAAACGAUGUGGGAAGGCCCAGACAGCCAGGAUGUUGGCUUAGAAGCAGCCAUCAUUUAAAGAAAGCGUAAUAGCUCACUGGUCGAGUCGGCCUGCGCGGAAGAUGUAACGGGGCUAAACCAUGCACCGAAGCUGCGGCAGCGACGCUUAUGCGUUGUUGGGUAGGGGAGCGUUCUGUAAGCCUGCGAAGGUGUGCUGUGAGGCAUGCUGGAGGUAUCAGAAGUGCGAAUGCUGACAUAAGUAACGAUAAAGCGGGUGAAAAGCCCGCUCGCCGGAAGACCAAGGGUUCCUGUCCAACGUUAAUCGGGGCAGGGUGAGUCGACCCCUAAGGCGAGGCCGAAAGGCGUAGUCGAUGGGAAACAGGUUAAUAUUCCUGUACUUGGUGUUACUGCGAAGGGGGGACGGAGAAGGCUAUGUUGGCCGGGCGACGGUUGUCCCGGUUUAAGCGUGUAGGCUGGUUUUCCAGGCAAAUCCGGAAAAUCAAGGCUGAGGCGUGAUGACGAGGCACUACGGUGCUGAAGCAACAAAUGCCCUGCUUCCAGGAAAAGCCUCUAAGCAUCAGGUAACAUCAAAUCGUACCCCAAACCGACACAGGUGGUCAGGUAGAGAAUACCAAGGCGCUUGAGAGAACUCGGGUGAAGGAACUAGGCAAAAUGGUGCCGUAACUUCGGGAGAAGGCACGCUGAUAUGUAGGUGAAGUCCCUCGCGGAUGGAGCUGAAAUCAGUCGAAGAUACCAGCUGGCUGCAACUGUUUAUUAAAAACACAGCACUGUGCAAACACGAAAGUGGACGUAUACGGUGUGACGCCUGCCCGGUGCCGGAAGGUUAAUUGAUGGGGUCAGCGCAAGCGAAGCUCUUGAUCGAAGCCCCGGUAAACGGCGGCCGUAACUAUAACGGUCCUAAGGUAGCGAAAUUCCUUGUCGGGUAAGUUCCGACCUGCACGAAUGGCGUAAUGAUGGCCAGGCUGUCUCCACCCGAGACUCAGUGAAAUUGAACUCGCUGUGAAGAUGCAGUGUACCCGCGGCAAGACGGAAAGACCCCGUGAACCUUUACUAUAGCUUGACACUGAACAUUGAGCCUUGAUGUGUAGGAUAGGUGGGAGGCUUGGAAGUGUGGACGCCAGUCUGCAUGGAGCCGACCUUGAAAUACCACCCUUUAAUGUUUGAUGUUCUAACGUUGACCCGU
rnacentral:rRNA from 1 species